rnacentral:rRNA from 1 species
CAUGCCGUAAACGGUGGGCGCUAGGUGUGGGGGCCGUUCCUGGUUUCCGUGCCGUAGCUAACGCAUUAAGCGCCCCGCCUGGGGAGUACGGCCGCAAGGCUAAAACUCAAAGGAAUUGACGGGGGCCCGCACAAGCGGCGGAGCAUGUGGAUUAAUUCGAUGCAACGCGAAGAACCUUACCUGGGCUUGACAUAUGCAGGACAGGCGUAGAGAUACGUCCUCCCUUGUGGCCUGUUUACAGGUGG